CUUUUCCUUAGAGUGUGAGUGCCCAUAGUUUGGCCCAUCAGCUAAUGAGGAGUACUGUACGGAAAUCCACUAGAGUUCUCCCACAAGGAAAUUAGAAACUGAAGGAUAAACCCGCUGAAUGUGCAAAUCACUCUGCUCUCCAGGAGCUGUGCAAAGGGGAGCGUGUUUCUGUAUAAUGAUUUAUUAUCCUAAAAAUGGCAGUUAGUUCUCACUAAAUGAAGAGCUUUGUCUUGUGAAUUAUGUGUACAGCUUCUCAUGUUAUUUUCUGAAGAAUCCUACUAAUGAAAAUGAGUGACUUCUGUUAACUGAAAGGUCUGCUGUACUCUAAACAAAACAGAGGACAGCCCAGCCCUAAUAACCAUGUGACCAUUGUUUAUUUCCCCAAACCAGACACAAGGCGAGACAAAGUGUUUCCCAUUUAGUUUCAUUUACUUGAAAUAACAGCGGUGAGAUAGAGAAUAGUUGUUUGAGUUACCAAGGUAAGUGAAUGUUGUACUUUGGAUAUAAGAAUAUUGUUUGGUUUUUGUCCAAUAUACACAGAGUUGAGUAACAGAAAUGAGAGCAGAGGAGAAUUCCAGAAUUGAGAACCUUCUUGGCCCUUUUUGUAGAAUCCUUGGGGUUGGGUCCCCCAUGCUUGAGACUGCUAGGAUUUGGUUAAAAUCUGCUAUGUUGAGCUUUCCACCUCUUCUGAAACUGCAGAAGAGUCGCAAGUCCCUGAACUUAGGCAGCUCAUAUCAAGAGAAGAGGAAUGGACCUUAGGAGCACAAGGAGCUUAUUUUUUGUUGCUGGAAGAGACAGGUAUUUUCUGUCAGAUAAGCCAAGCAAACAGAAAAGCACAGAGGAGGCUUCUGGCAUAAGUAAAUGCAUAAAUUCAGACUUGCAGAAAAUGUUAUGCUAUUAAAUGAUAUGUCUUUUUCCUCUGAAGGACUCUGUCCUACUAACAAAGUGUACGUACAUGCAGGGUCAUGCUAUCUUUGCCAGCUAUGAAUAAUGAAUCCUCUCUGCCGAGAAAGCAACCCCAAGAGACAGCCUCAUAGUGAAGAUACUCCUCAUAAGAAGGAGAAAGAAAUAAACUCAGAGUAUUGUUUCUAGAUCAGUUUCUAACAAGUGCCUGUGCUUAAAAAGGAAAGUGCUCCCACAACUUCCACAUUUCCACUGGCUGUUGCAGCCGGUUCCCAGCCCCACAAUGCCAGCUUGCAAAGUGGGAUCUUCUGGGCAAACACUGUCUCUUUCUUGUAAAAAGAAGAAUCUGAAUACCUAACAUGCGUAACUAUCGAACAAUUUUUGGCUAAGGCUGAACUGCUGUUGCCAGCUCCCAGCUGUGACUUCUGGCCGGUUUUAACUCCCCGUACUCAUUUCUGCUAUUCAAAAUGAGUGCAAUACAAGGUGGAUUAGUGUAAAGUCUUCAGAGUUGUGUUGCCUUGUUGUAUAGACAAUGAAGAUAAUUGUGUCAAGUAUCCUCAACUUUCUGAGCAGUUUCCACUUCUCUUACUUGAAGCUAAUGGUGUCGGAACUGAAAGAGUAUUUUGCAGUAUUUCUUUGCAGAUUCUCCAUGGCUUUCGUUUCCCGUUAUUUUUUGGAUUAAUAACUUGGGGAGGAAGAAGAUCCUGUUUAUUCUUUUUCUGACUUAGGGAGACAAAUUCAGCCCUGGAAAACCUCCUGCCUGGGACAAUAACAUGUCAUGUCAUCUGUACCAGCGAUAUCUACCUUCAGAUUCUCCCUCUGGUUGAAACCUGCUUAAGGAGACGGCAGCCUUCUGUUUUCCCACCUUCUGAAACACAGAUCUUUUUCUCACGAAGAGCUGACAGACCAGAUGAUGGCAAGAUUUAUUUCAGUAGCAAACGAUGAUUCUCUAAAAUAGCGUGCAAAGGUGCAUCAACCCAGGACACAAACUUUAGGACAGAGUGAUUCUGUAACAGGUUUGAAGCAGUGGAAUUUGAAAACAAACUACUUGUGUACUCAUAUUUUAGCAUUUUUAUACUUCUCUCCUAUAAAACACGAUGUCAGAUGUAACUGCAGUGGCUUGAACUCAGUGUCGACUGCCUUGACAACAUGGUGAGCAGGCAGGUUUGGUUUACAGCCCCAGUGUCUUCAGGCUCACCUCUCACCACCCAUCCUGGCGGUACGCGCUGUUCUCACCCUCUGCGGGUGCGUGUGUGCGCGGGUGUGCUAUGGGGUGUGUAAAUCAGAGCAGCUGCAGGGAAAGCAGCUGCAGGGACACAUGCGCUUGGCUGCUGAGUGCGUGGGGGGGUGAGCGUGGUUUGUGUGUUGCUGGAGGGCUUCCCUCUUGGAAAUUCUGGGAUUAAUGACACAUUAAGCCCUCUCUGAGAGA